rnacentral:rRNA from 1 species
UACGUAGGGUGCAGGCGUUAAUCGGAAUUACUGGGCGUAAAGCGUGCGCAGGCGGUCUGCUAAGACAGGUGUGAAAUCCCCGGGCUUAACCUGGGAACUGCGCUUGUUACUGGCAGGCUGGAGUGUGGCAGAGGGGGGUGGAAUUCCACGUGUAGCAGUGAAAUGCGUAGAGAUGUGGAGGAACACCGAUGGCGAAGGCAGCCCCCUGGGUUAACACUGACGCUCAGGCACGAAAGCGUGGGGAGCAAACAGG